rnacentral:rRNA from 1 species
CAGUAGCCACGGUAAAACGAAGGGGGCUAGCGUUGUUCGGAUUUACUGGGCGUAAAGGGCGCGUAGGCGGACUGAUAAGUCAGGGGUGAAAUCCCAAGGCUCAACCUUGGAACUGCCUUUGAUACCGUUUGUCUUGAGUUCGAGAGAGGUAAGUGGAACUGCGAGUGUAGAGGUGAAAUUCGUAGAUAUUCGCAAGAACACCAGUGGCGAAGGCGGCUUACUGGCUCGAAACUGACGCUGAGGCGCGAAAGCGUGGGGAGCAAACAGGAUUAGAGACCCCUGUAGUCCCUGUCUCUUAUAC